AUGGGAGAGGGUUUCUGGACCUUAUUCUGCAGUAAUGAAUGCUGUUCCGGCUUUUCAGCCAUUAUCAAUCCAGAUUCAUGUGUCAACAAUAUUUUGGUCAUUGCAGCUGAUAUCUUGCUCCUAUUAAUUUUGUUAUGUAUCUUCAUAUCUAGAAGAUCAUCAACAAAUAUCAUUGCACAAUCACAGUCUCACACCUUUUCAACACUCUCAAUCAUCUCAGUUACUAGCAACGUUGGUCUGGCUUUGGUCUACUUGGGGUUUGGGAUAUGGACAAUCAUUGAGAAAGUAAAUGCAGAUCAGACUGUUUUACCUCUACAAGGAUGGCUAGUAUUAUUUUUUCAAGGGUUCACAUGGUUGCUUCUGGGUUUAACCAUAAGCCUAAAGAAGCCACAACCUCAACAUAUCGCGAGAACAAAAUCUUGUUCAAUUCUUGCAUUCUUGAUUGCCAUUUUUCUUUGCACUUCAUCAAUUUGGGAAGCUAUUGUAGAUGAGGCAGUAUCGGUCAAGAUUGUUUUAAACAUUUGUUAUUUCCCUGGAUCAAUCCUUUUGCUCUUUAGUGCAUUUCAGGGAAACAAUUAUGCAAAAGGUGAUCCAGAAACCCAUGAAGAUGCUUUCUACACACCUUUGCAAGGCGCAGCAUCUGAUAUGGAAGAUGAAACCAGCUUAAAUGAAAAUGUAACUCCUUUUGAAAAAGCAGGGUUAUUUAGCACAAUGUCAUUUUGGUGGUUGAAUCCAUUAAUGAAGAAAGGUAAGCAGAAGCUUCUUGAGAAUGAAGAUAUUCCACUUUUGAGACAGGCUGAUCGAGCUCGAACAUGGUACUUAAUAUUUAUGGAGCAAUUGAACAAAAGGAAGGAAGAAGGUUCAUCUGCUACCUCUUCUAUCUUGUCCAUAAUAUUUUAUUGCCAGAGGAGAGCAAUUCUUAUUUCUGGGUUAUACGCACUGAUCAAGGUUCUCACAACUACAAGCAGUCCACUGUUUCUCAUGGCCUUCAUUAAGAUUGCUGAAGGCAAUGAAGCUUUUAAAUAUGAGGGUUAUGCACUGACUCUUGGUCUCUUCCUAGCGAAAAUCUUGGAGUCACUAUCGGAGAGGCAAUGGUACUUCAAAACUAGACUGAUCGGGCUCCAAGUGAGAUCAUUGGUGUCAGCAGCAAUAUAUCAGAAGCAACUGCGACUCUCGAAUUCUGCCAAGAUGGCUCAUUCUCCUGGUGAGAUAGUGAAUUAUGUAACAGUGGAUGCUUACAGAAUUGGUGAAUUUCCAUACUGGUUUCAUCAGAUGUGGACCUCAAGCCUUCAACUAUGCCUUUCAUUACUUAUUUUUUACUUCUCCGUGGGGCUGGCAACUAUUGCAGCUCUAACUGUACUCUUAUUGACUGUGCUGGCAAGCUCCCCACUGGCCAAGUUGCAGCAUGAGUACCAGACCAAGUUCAUGGUAGCACAAGAUAGGAGGCUGAAGGCAAUUACAGAAGCACUUUCAAAUAUGAAGAUCUUGAAGCUGUAUUCUUGGGAGACAAAUUUCAAAAAUGUCAUAGAAGAAUUAAGAACAGAAGAAAUUAAAUGGAUAUCUCAACUAUUGACACAAAAGGGUUAUUAUAUUGUUAUGUUCUGGUCAUCUCCUAUUCUUGCAGCAGCUGUUACUUUUUGGACAUGCUACUUCCUUGGAUUUACACUGUCUGCUAGUAAUGUUUUCCCAUUUUUAGCAACUUUGCGUAUUGUUCAGGAGCCAAUCAGGCUGAUCCCAGAUGUUUUUGGAGCAUAUGUUGAAGCAAAGGUUUCACUAUCUCGAAUUGUGAAGUUUCUUGAUGCACCAGAGUUGGAAAAUAGACAUACAAGGAAAGAGAGCUGUGACAAAGAGGUUGAGCAUUCCAUUUUCUUUAGCUCAUCCGAAAUUUCAUGGGAUACUAAUGCUACAAAGGCCACACUAAGGAACAUUAAUUUGGUGGUUAAACCAGGAGAAAAAGUAGCAAUUUGUGGUGAGGUUGGCUCGGGUAAAUCAACCCUUUUAGCUGCAAUUCUUGGAGAAGUUCCACGCAUCAAUGGCAUUGUUGAAGUAUUUGGGAAGAUAGCAUAUGUUUCUCAGUCCGCGUGGAUCCAGACAGGAACUAUAUAGGAAAAUAUUAUGUUUGGUUCUGCCAUGGAUCGUGCUAGAUACCAAGAAACACUGGAGAAGUGCUCUUUAGUGAAGGACCUUGAAAUUCUUCCAUUCCACGAUCUCACUCAGAUAGGGGAAAGAGGUGUCAAUCUAAGUGGUGGUCAGAAGCAGCGCAUUCAACUUGCACGUGCACUUUAUCAAAAUGCUGAUGUCUACCUCUUGGAUGACCCAUUCAGUGCAGUGGAUGCCCAUACGGCAACCAGCCUAUUCAAUGAAUAUGUCAUGGGAGCUCUUGCAGAGAAGACAGUAUUGCUUGUGACACACCAAGUUGAUUUCCUUCCUGCUUUAAAUUCAAUUUUGUUGAUGCAUUCAGGGAAAAUUCUAAGAGCAGCUCCCUACGAAGAGUUGCGGGCUUCUUGUCAAGAGUUCCAAAACCUUGUCAAUACACAUGAUGACACCGCAUAUUCUGAGGGGCAAGUUGAUUAUGCUUCUAUUGGAAGACAUAAAUCAUCCAACAAGGAGAUUGAGAAAGUAAACACUGAAGUACAGCUAAAAGAGUCUUCCAGAGAUCAAUUGAUUAAGCUAGAAGUGAGAGAAACAGGAGACACUGGUUUCAAGCCAUACAUUCAGUACUUGAAGCACAGGAAAGGGUUUUGGCACUUCUCUUUUCUAGUCUUUUUCUUCUCGGUAUUCGUAGCUGGGCAAUUAAGUCAAUUUUAUUGGUUGGCUUUGAAACUUCAGGAUUAUAGCUUAUCCAGAGUCAAACUCUUGGUCGUUUAUUCUGUGAUCAUGUGUAUCAUGGUAUUCGCUUUGCUUAUGCGAUCCUUUUCUGUAGUUGAUUUAGGAUGUGGGGCAUCCACAUCCAUUUUUUCUACACUAUUAAACUCUCUUUUCCGAGCACCAAUGCUGUUUUAUGACUCAACACCCAUGGGAAGGAUACUUAGUCGGGUAUCUUCUGAUAUGAAUAUCAUUGACCUUGAAGUAGCUUUCAAGUUGAUGAUAGCUGUUGCGGGAACUCUGAACACAUACAGCAUAUUUAUAGCAUUGGUUUUUCAAACUUGGCCAAUGGUGUUUCUGAUUAUACCCACAAUUUAUAUUACUGUACUUCUUCAGAAAUACUACUUUGCUUCUGCAAAAGAGUUGAUGCGAAUGAAUGGCACAACUAUGUCCGCACUAGCAAGCCACCUUUCCGAAUCUAUUGGUGGAGCCAUGACAAUCAGAGCUUUCGGAGAGGAGGAUCAGUUCUUCUCAAAAUACUUAGACUCUAUUGAUAUAAAUGCUAGUGCUGACUUCAAUAGAUUUUCAGCUAGUGAGUGGUUGAUAGAACGUCUUGAAUGGCUAUGUGCUAUUGUUCUCUCAGCCUCAGCACUUGCCAUCACUUUGAUUCAGUUUGACGCUUCUUCCUCUGGUUUUAUUGGGAUGACACUGUCAUAUGGUCUCUCAUUAAAUGUAUUUCUAGUAAUUUCUGACCAAUUUCAAUGCAUGCUAGAAAAUUCAAUGAUUUCUGUAGAAAGAGCAGAGCAAUACAUGCACAUUUCCCAUGAGGCUCCAGAAGUAAUAGAAGAAAACAGACCUGCCGACAAUUGGCCUACUGCUGGUAAAAUGGAAAUACAUGAUUUAAAGGUAAGAUAUAGGCCAAAUGCUCCACUAGUUCUUCGUGGGAUAAAUUGCAUAAUUGAAGGAGGGUACAAAAUUGGGAUUGUUGGCCGGACUGGAAGUGGAAAGACUACUCUUAUCAGCGUUUUGUUCCGUCUGGUAGAGCCUACAGAGGGAAGGAUUAUAGUAGAUGACUAUGACAUUUGUAAAAUUGGACUUCAUGAUUUAAGAUCACGUUUUGGGAUCAUCCCACAAGAUCCAACACUAUUCAAUGGGUCUGUCAGAUUCAAUCUAGACCCCUUAUCAGAGCACACUGAUCAUGAAAUAUGGGAGGUUCUUGAAAAAUGUCAGUUACGAGAGGCCAUUCAAGAAAAAGAAGGCGGCCUGGAUUCUUUAGUUGUACAAGAUGGAACAAACUGGAGCAUGGGACAGCGACAACUAUUUUGUUUGGGACGCGCUUUGUUGAAGAGGAGCCGGAUACUAGUGCUCGAUGAAGCCACUGCAUCAAUGGACAAUGCAACAGAUUCUGUUCUUCAGAAAACUAUAAGAACAGAAUUUGCAGACUGCACUGUGAUAACGGUGGCUCAUAGGAUACCGACUGUUAUGGACUGCACUAAGGUGCUUGCUAUUAGUGAUGGGAAACUGGUAGAGUAUGAUGAGCCAAUGAAGCUGAUUAAAAACAAGGGUUCGCUAUUUGGGCAGCUUGUCAAGGAAUACUGGUCUCGAGCUGCCAAUGCCGGUAUCUCUUCAGAAGGUUGAUUGGGAAACAUAUUCAAUAUAUUUGCAAUAAUUUCUGAGGAAAUUUUAGCAAGCAAGGUGGAUUUGGCUGUCUGUUUUAGUACUCGAGAGAGUAAUAUGGUUGCUCAUUCUCUGGCUCGUCAUGCUUUGCAUGAGUGCGACGUCUUAAUUUGGUUAGAGGAGGGUCCGGAAGGGCUUAUGCAAUGUACCAAUGUUGUUUGUGUUUCUUGCCUUGAUUUAAAUAAAGUUUCCUAGUUAUUGAUAAGGUCCA